UACGGAGGAUCCGAGCGUUAUCCGGAUUUAUUGGGUUUAAAGGGUGCGCAGGCGGGAGAUUAAGUCGGCGGUGAAAUUUUGCAGCUCAACUGUAAAAGUGCCUUCGAAACUGGUUUCCUUGAGUGUAGAUGAAGUAGGCGGAAUUUGUGGUGUAGCGGUGAAAUGCAUAGAUAUCACGAGGAACUCCGAUUGCGCAGGCAGCUUACUAAACUACUACUGACGCUCAGGCACGAAGGCGUGAGGAUCAAACAGGAUUAGAUACCCG
rnacentral:rRNA from 1 species